ensembl:rRNA 5S_rRNA 5S ribosomal RNA
AACUGCUCCACCUCAGGCUGGGAUCUUGUCAGAUCUCUCAAGCUAAGCAGGUCAGACUUGGUGGGUAAUUAGAUAGGAGACCUCUGUAGAAAAGCCAGGUGCUGUAU